UGGACCAAUGAGGAGAGUGUUUAUUAAACUAAGGAUUAUGAUUAAUCUAGUUCUAAGUGUGCCUGGGGUCUAGU
rnacentral:snoRNA from 1 species